rnacentral:rRNA from 1 species
GACGAACGCUGGCGGCGUGCCUAACACAUGCAAGUCGAGCGAGGAGAUUUCCUUCGGGGAUGAACCUAGCGGCGGACGGGUGAGUAACACGUGGGCAACCUGCCUUAUAGAGGGGAAUAGCCUUUCGAAAGGAAGAUUAAUACCGCAUAAGAUUGCAUUUUCGCAUGAAGAAGCAAUUAAAGGAGCAAUCCGCUAUAAGAUGGGCCCGCGGCGCAUUAGCUAGUUGGUGAGGUAACGGCUCACCAAGGCGCCGAUGCCUAGCCGACCUGAGAGGGUGAUCUGCGACAUUGGGACGGAGACACAGGCCAAACUCCUACGGGAGGUCGCAGUGGGGAAUUUUGCACAAUGGAGGAAACCCGGAUGCAUCAAGGGCGCUUGAGUGAUGUCGGUCUUCGGAUCGUAAGGCUCUGUCUUGAGGGAUAAUAAUGACGGUACCUGAGGAGGAAGCCACGGCUAAUAACGUGCCAGCAGCCGCCGUAAAUC